AGAGAGGGGAUACCUUCAUAACCGCGUGGUCGCAUAUACCCGGGACGAGGAAACAGACGGAAGCUACCAGGAAAUAGAAGAGGGGGGAUCCAUUCAAAAUCGCGUGGUCUCAUAUGCCCGGGAUGAGGACAAUGAUGGGGGCUAC
rnacentral:lncRNA from 1 species